GAACCUUCUGGGAGUCACCAUUGACUGGCUGCAGCCACCGGCUUCCCAGCAAGGAUGUCCCGUUCUGUAGGAAAAUGGGGACGUCGGGAGCAUUCUCUGGACAGCAGGAGAUGCACGUCGACAGGCUGGCCCUGCCUCUUCCCACCCCAGAGUGUGCAGCGGUGUCCUGGACCCCUGGGGAGAGGUGACCCCCCCUCCACCCCCCAGCAGGAAGCUGGGCCUGGUUUCUGUCCCUCUGCAGCCACAAGGCCUGGCCAGGAUGCUGGAAGCACCACACCCUGGAGACUCAGCUCACCAAGGACUCAGGGGCGGGGGAUCCCCUGGCACCUGGGAAGCUGGGCCCCUGGCCCCCUGGACUCCCACCCAGACACCAUCUCAACCCAGGUCUGUCUGCAUCUCCCCGUCACUGCCCUGGGUUCUCCACUCCUGGACCUGACCCUGGUCCUGGGGCAGUGUCCCAGCUGCUGUGUCCCAGGCCCCCCAUCC
rnacentral:lncRNA from 1 species